GACGAACGCUGGCGGCGUGCUUAACACAUGCAAGUCGAACGGAGUGGCGAACGGGUGAGUAACACGUGGGUGACCUACCCCGCACUACGGGAUAAGCCUGGGAAACUGGGUCUGAUACCGGCUAGGGUGGGAUGGGCGCGGGGCCUAUCAGCUUGUUGGUGGGGUGAGGGCCUACCACGGCGGCGACGGGUAGCCGGCCUGAGAGGGUGGAAGGCCACAGUGGGACUGAGGCACGGCCCAGAGUCCUACGGGGGGCAGCGGUGGGGAAUAUUGCACAAUUGGCGGAGGCCUGAUGCAGCGACGCCGGGUGGGGGAUGACGGCCGUCGGGUUGUAAACUCCUUUCACCAUCGACGCGGUAGAUGGAGAAGAAGCACCGGCUAACUACGUGCCAGCAGCCGCGGUAAUUC
rnacentral:rRNA from 1 species